CCUACGGGAGGCUGCAGUGAGGAAUCUUGGUCAAUGGAGGCAACUCUGAACCAGCCACGUCGCGUGAAGGAUGAAGGCCUUACGGGUCGUAAACUUCUUUUUCGGGGGAAUAAACGGGGUCACGGGUGGCCCUUUGCAUGUACCCCGCGAAUAAGGAUCGGCUAACUCCGUGCCAGCAGCCGCGGUAAUACGGAGGAUCCGAGCGUUAUCCGGAUUUAUUGGGUUUAAAGGGUGCGCAGGCGGGUUAUUAAGUCGGUGGUGAAAUCCCGGGGCUCAACCCCGGGCUUGCCAUCGAAACUGGUUACCUUGAGUGUGGGUGGGGCAGGCGGAAUUCGUGGUGUAGCGGUGAAAUGCAUAGAUAUCACGAGGAACUCCUAUCGCGUAGGCAGCUUGCCAUUCCAUAACUGACGCUCAUGCACGAAGGCGUGGGGAUCAAACAGGAUUAGAUACCCCUGUAGUC
rnacentral:rRNA from 1 species